UCCCCCAAUGCUCCCAAUGUCCCCCAUGUCCCCAACGUCCCCCAAUACCCCCGAUGUCCCCACACUCAUCUCCCCCAUUGCAGUUUGCCAUCGGUUCCCUGAUGGACGAUUACCUCGGUCUCGUCAGCUGAGCGCCGUGGGACGAGCAGAGCAGUGGGAUGGGGGAUGGGAUGGGGGACAAGGCUGGCCGUGGGGCUCGGUUAUGGGGUGGCCCCCCCCUCCGUUCCCAAUAAAAACGCUUUUUUUUUUGUCA